rnacentral:rRNA from 1 species
GACGAACGCUGGCGGCGUGCUUAACACAUGCAAGUCGAACGAAGAGCGAUGGAAGCUUGCUUCUAUCAAUCUUAGUGGCGAACGGGUGAGUAACGCGUAAUCAACCUGCCCUUCAGAGGGGGAUAACAGUUGGAAACGACUGCUAAUACCGCAUACGAUCUAAUCUCGGCAUCGAGGAUAGAUGAAAGGUGGCCUCUACAUGUAAGCUAUCACUGAAGGAGGGGAUUGCGUCUGAUUAGCUAGUUGGAGGGGUAACGGCCCACCAAGGCGAUGAUCAGUAGCCGGUCUGAGAGGAUGAACGGCCACAUUGGGACUGAGACACGGCCCAGACUCCUACGGGAGGCAGCAGUGGGGAAUCUUCCGCAAUGGACGAAAGUCUGACGGAGCAACGCCGCGUGAGUGAUGACGGCCUUCGGGUUGUAAAGCUCUGUUAAUCGGGACGAAAGGCCUUCUUGCGAAUAGUGAGAAGGAU